AAAGGGAGACCUAAUUCAGGUAGGAGACGAAAAAAAAAGUAGUCCCAACCAAGAAUCAAUCCCAAAAGGUCGGAGCGAGGUAUGAGGCUUUCAAACUAGGUUCUGGGUUCAUAAAAGACCUGAAUCAGGAACAAGGGCUAUUAGCUCAGGUGGUUAGAGCGCACCCCUGAUAAGGGUGAGGUCCCUGGUUCGAGUCCAGGAUGGCCCACCUGCACAGGUGGCAAAAACAAAGAAAAGAAGCUCCGAAUCAGCACCUUAUCUUACUUAUAUAGUAAGAGAGAAUGCUGGCUCUGAGUUCAGAGUCCAGAGGAACCUUGAAAACUGCAUAGAGCUAGGUGAAAAAGCCAAAAAAGAAGACCGCAAG
rnacentral:tRNA from 1 species